UGGGGAAUAUUGCACAAUGGGGGAAACCCUGAUGCAGCGACGCCGCGUGAGCGAAGAAGGUUUUCGAAUCGUAAAGCUCUUUCCUAUGGGAAGAUAAUGACGGUACCAUAGGAGGAAGCCCCGGCUAACUACGUGCCAGCAGCCGCGGUAAUACGUAGGGGGCAAGCGUUGUCCGGAAUCACUGGGCGUAAAGGGUUCGCAGGCGGAAAUGCAAGUCAGUUGUGAAAGGCAGAGGCUCAACCUCUGUAAGCAAUUGAAACUGUAUUUCUUGAGAUGUGGAGAGGCAAGUGGAAUUCCUAGUGUAGCGGUGAAAUGCGUAGAUAUUAGGAAGAAUACCGGUGGCGAAGGCGACUUGCUGGACACAAACUGACGCUGAGGAACGAAAGCGUGGGUAGAAAACAGG
rnacentral:rRNA from 1 species